UGUCAUAAGUGGGAUUCGAACCCAUGCCUUCAUCAGUGGACCAGAAUAUUUCAACUCCCGUUAUGGAAUAAGAAUUACUCUUGAGUCUCUUGGUGCUGUAGACCACUCAGCCAUCCUGAC